CUCACCCUCACCAGUUACCACCAUCAGUAUGUCUAGCUUGGUGUUUGUCAGAGGUUCUCUGGGAGGUCCCUGGAUGGCUGCUGUGGGUUGGGGUCUUCCUGCCUGUCAUUCUGCUGCUGAUACAGAUCAUUGUUUACCUGAACUGGAAGCUGAAGGGCUCAGACCUCACAGCUUUCAAACAUUGCUGGCUGCAGACAGAGGAUGUGACCACACACACACACUCUUUCCUUUAUAAUCAGUAGAGGCAGAGUUGUCUUCAGCACCUUACCCCAGGGACAUGGCCUCCAGCCUGAGCUACACAACCACAUCACCCAGGCAGAGACGACAGGCUUGGGGGAGGAUGUACACCUGAGAAAGGGAACUGUGGAUGGCCCCAUACUGGAUAUUGCUCUGCUGGGUACAGUACAGCGCUCUGAGAACUCACAGGACAUAGAACUCACAGGCACAAUAGUGUCACAGGGAGAGCACAGGGGAUGGAGAUGCUGAAUACAAUUACUAUCCACCGCCAGAUCCUGGAUAAAACACCAGCUAAGACAGAGUGAAGCAACAGCCUGCGAAGGAUAAUAAUAUGGAAUUCCAAAUCACUUUACAAACUGUUGGAAUGCAGAGACAAUGCACAUAUUUUAUUACUAAAAUCAUUGUUUAUUGUA